GACGAAGGGGGCUAGCGUUGCUCGGAAUCACUGGGCGUAAAGCGCACGUAGGCGGCUUUUUAAGUCAGGGGUGAAAUCCUGGAGCUCAACUCCAGAACUGCCUUUGAUACUGAGAAGCUUGAGUCCGGGAGAGGUGAGUGGAACUGCGAGUGUAGAGGUGAAAUUCGUAGAUAUUCGCAAGAACACCAGUGGCGAAGGCGGCUCACUGGCCCGGUACUGACGCUGAGGUGCGAAAGCUAGGGGAGCAAAGGGG
rnacentral:rRNA from 1 species